AUUGAACGCUGGCGGCAUGCCUUACACAUGCAAGUCGAACGGUAACAGGUCUUCGGAUGCUGACGAGUGGCGAACGGGUGAGUAAUACAUCGGAACGUGCCUAGUAGUGGGGGAUAACUACUCGAAAGAGUGGCUAAUACCGCAUGAGAUCUACGGAUGAAAGCAGGGGAUCGCAAGACCUUGUGCUACUAGAGCGGCCGAUGGCAGAUUAGGUAGUUGGUGGGAUAAAAGCUUACCAAGCCGACGAUCUGUAGCUGGUCUGAGAGGACGAUCAGCAACACUGGGACUGGGACGCGGCCAAGACUCCUACGGGGAGCAGCAGUGGGGAAUUUUGGACAAUGGGCGAAAGCCUGAUCCAGCAAUGCCGCGUGCAGGAUGAAGGCCUUCGGGUUGUAAACUGCUUUUGUACGGAACGAAAAGCCCCGGGUUAAUACCCUGGGGUCAUGACGGUACCGUAAGAAUAAGCACCGGCUAACUACGUGCCAGCAGCCGCCGCUG
rnacentral:rRNA from 1 species